rnacentral:lncRNA from 1 species
UCCAUCCCAUAAUAUAAGUAUCUCAAACCAAAAGAAUCUUCUAACCAAUAACUGUCCCAAACAUGGUUAUAUGUUUCACCACUCAAACCAAGCAUUGUGGCAUCACAUAUGAAUCCAUUGGAUCCAAGCCUCAGUACGCACUUUUCCAACCAGAACACUGGAAUGUUUUAAGAAACCAUAGAAGCAUAUAUACAAGAAUAAACCGAUACAAAAAGAUUCUCAAAUGCUUCACUGAUUCAGGCCAACAAUAUUUCAUUCAUAUCUGAAUCUGAUUACAGUAUGACUUGAUAGUCAGUACAUCAAGGACUUGCUUAGCUCAAAGCUUCACCCACACAUACACACAAGAGUUCACUAACCAAUGUUACUCGUCGGAAACUACAACUUUAACUCACCAAGACGCCAAUGCCUGAGAAUCCAAUUUAGCCAAGAUUAAUUUUACAGGAAAGUCAGCAGUCUCCAAACACUAGGCAGCUCACAUGAUUACGUGUGCAUCGAUAAGUUCAAUUCUACUCCUUUUUCCUGCUACAAGCCGGGUAGCAAACGGGCGUUUUUCAUUUUGCAGCGAGUGCGUUUUACGUUGUCUCGUGCCGGAAUUGCAGUACAUGAGUUUCCAAUUUUGGCUCAUCUGCUUUACUUUUGAUUUAUUGAUUGAAAAUGCCCUUUAUUUACUUAAACCCUUAACUUAGGACCAGGUGUGGAUGUAGUGUAACUAUGUCGUACACAUCUUAGCAUGGUUUUUGCUGCCUAGCUAUUGGAGACUCUGCUGACACUCUGUAAAAUUACUAAUGACUGAAAGGGAGUCAUAGAACACUAGAAAUCUUGGUAAGCAAGUGCAGAACCUAGAGAAACAAAGAUUAAAUGAAACUAAUGCAUGCAUGAUUUAGGUAUCUAAAAGGCUAGCGAAGGCGCAAUACCACUGGACUCAAGCAAGGGAUUGGUUGCUUCUCCUUCCUUGAUGCAGCAGAGUUUUGCUUGGGAAUCUUGCAGCUGAGCUCCCCCAUGCCCCUUCUAGCGCGCAGAGUUGAAGCUGCUGGAGUCAUCAUCUUCACAGUAGUGGCAGGGGNNNN